rnacentral:rRNA from 1 species
AAACCAGCACCUCAAGUGGUCAGGAUGAUUAUUGGGCCUAAAGCAUCCGUAGCCGGCCCUGUAAGUUUUCGGUUAAAUCUGUACGCUUAACGUACAGGCUGCCGGGAAUACUGCAGAGCUAGGGAGUGGGAGAGGUAGACGGUACUCGGGAGGAAGUGGUAAAAUGCUUUGAUCUCUCGAUGACCACCUGUGGCGAAGGCGGUCUACCAGAACACGUCCGACGGUGAGGGAUGAAAGCUGGGGGAGCAAACCGGAUUAGAAACCCGGGUAGUCC